AACGAACGCUGGCGGCGUGCUUAACACAUGCAAGUCGAACGCGAAAUUUUUCUUCGGAAAGAAAGUAGAGUGGCGCACGGGUGAGUAACGCGUAGGAAUCUGCCUCAUAGUGGGGGACAACGUGGGGAAACUCACGCUAAUACCGCAUACGCCCUACGGGGGAAAGCGGGGGAUCUUCGGACCUCGCGCUAUGAGAUGAGCCUGCGUUAGAUUAGCUAGUUGGUAGGGUAAAGGCCUACCAAGGCGACGAUCUAUAGCUGGUCUGAGAGGACGAUCAGCCACACUGGGACUGAGACACGGCCCAGACACCUACGGGAGGCAG
rnacentral:rRNA from 1 species